rnacentral:rRNA from 1 species
GGAAAGAUGAAAAGAACUUUGAAAAGAGAGUUAAACAGUACGUGAAAUUGUUGAAAGGGAAACGAUUGAAGUCAGUCAUACCAACGGGAAAUCAACCUUUUGUGCUUUGUCUCGUGGGUUCGAAGAGUUUAAACGCCUUCGGGCUCGCGAGAUUGGGAUCUUCUGGUGUACUUUCCCGUACGGUUAGUCAACAUCGGUUUUGAAUGUCAUAAAAUGACUGGAGGAAUGUGGCUUCGAUCUCGUAUCGAGGUGUUAUAGCCUUUGGUAGAUGUGAUGUUCGAGUCCGAGGAUUGCAACGGAUACCCUUCUGGGCUAUUCGUCUGAUCUCUGAUACGUUGCCUUGAUGUCGAAAGCUUGCUUAUGAUGUUAGGGUAUUACGGUCAAAAGGUUAGAACGGAUUAAAUUCGUUAAGGAUGUUGACGUAAUGACUUUAAACGACCCGUCUUGAAACACGGACCA